rnacentral:rRNA from 1 species
AUUGAACGCUGGCGGCAGGCCUAACACAUGCAAGUCGAACGGUAACAGGAAGAAGCUUGCUUCUUUGCUGACGAGUGGUGGACGGGUGAGUAAUGUCUGGGAAACUGCCUGAUGGAGGGGGAUAACUACUGGAAACGGUAGCUAAUACCGCAUAACGUCGCAAGACCAAAGAGGGGGACCUUCGGGCCUCUUGCCAUCGGAUGUGCCCAGAUGGGAUUAGCUUGUUGGUGGGGUAACGGCUCACCAAGGCGACGAUCCCUAGCUGGUCUGAGAGGAUGACCAGCCACACUGGAACUGAGACACGGUCCAGACUCCUACGGGAGGCAGCAGUGGGGAAUAUUGCACAAAGGGCGCAAGCCUGAUGCAGCCAUGCCGCGUGUAUGAAGAAGGCCUUCGGGUUGUAAAGUACUUUCAGCGGGGAGGAAGGGAGUAAAGUUAAUACCUUUGCUCAUUGACGUUACCCGCAGAAGAAGCACCGGCUAACUCCGUG